ensembl:lncRNA
UUUUGCUUAAAUGGGGGAUUUCGAAGAGAAAACGCGUGAUUUUCGCUUAAAUAGGGGAUUUCUGAAGAGAAAACGUGUGAUUUUCACUUAAAUGGGAAAUUUGCAUAGAGGAAACAUGUUAUUUUCACUUAAAUGGGGAUUUCGAAGAGAAAACGCGUGAUUUUCGCUUAAAUGGGGGAUUCUCGAAGAGAAAACGCGUGAUUUUCGCUUAAAUGGGGAUUCUCGUAGAGAAAACGCGUGAUUUUCGCUUAAAUGGGGGAUUUCCGAAGAGAAAACGCGUGAUUUUCACUUAAAUUGGAAAUUUGCAUAGAGGAAACAUGUUAUUUUCACUUAAAUGGGGAUUUGCGAAGAUGAAAACGCGUGAUUUUCGCUUAAAUGGGGGAUUUCGAAGAGAAAACGCGUGAUUUUUGCUUAAAUAGGGGAUUCUCGAAGAGAAAACGCGUGAUUUUCGCUUAAAUGGGGGAUUUCCGAAGAGAAAACGCGUGAUUUUCGCUUAAAUGGGGGAUUUCCGAAGAGAAAACGCGUGAUUUUCGCUUAAAUGGGGGAUUUGCGAAAACAAAACGCGUGAUUUUCGCUUAAAUGGGGGAUUUGCGAAGAGAAAACGCGUGAUUUUUGCUUAAAUGGGGGAUUCUCGAAGAGAAAACGCGUGAUUUUGCUUAAAUGGGGGAUUCUCGAAGAGAAAACGC